AUCAUACUCCCUCCGUCCCAAAAUACUUGUCUUAGACUUGUCUAGAUACGGAUGUAUCUAACACUAAAACUUGACUUGAUACAUCCGUAUUUAGACAAAUCUAAGACAAGAAUUUUGGGACGGAGGGAGUACUUA
rnacentral:pre_miRNA from 1 species